rnacentral:rRNA from 1 species
GACGAACGCUGGCGGCGUGCUUAACACAUGCAAGUCGAACGGAAAGGCCCUGCUUUUGUGGGGUGCUCGAGUGGCGAACGGGUGAGUAACACGUGAGUAACCUGCCCUUGACUUUGGGAUAACUUCAGGAAACUGGGGCUAAUACCGGAUAGGAGCUCCUGCUGCAUGAUGGGGGUUGGAAAGUUUCGGCGGUUGGGGAUGGACUCGCGGCUUAUCAGCUUGUUGGUGGGGUAGUGGCUUACCAAGGCUUUGACGGGUAGCCGGCCUGAGAGGGUGACCGGCCACAUUAGGACUGAGAUACGGCCCAGACUCCUACGGGAGGCAGCAGUGGGGAAUAUUGCACAAUGGGCGGAAGCCUGAUGCAGCAACGCCGCGUGCGGGAUGACGGCCUUCGGGUUGUAAACCGCUUUCGCCUGUGACGAAGCGUGAGUGACGGUAAUGGGUAAAGAAGCACCGGCUAACUACGUG